CGUAGUUGAGGUUUCUUUUCCUCACAUCUUUCACCGUGCUUCUCACAUACGUGUGCGAUGUCUUUUCUUUUUCAUCGGUUUCGAGAACCAACACCACGAGAUCGACGCGGUCGUGUCGUGCAAGCAUCUCUCGGGCAAAGACGAUGCUGGACUUUCGUGCAUCAUCACCAGGUCACGUGUGGGAGGCAUCACUAUACGAUCUGGCCAGAAAGAGCGGCCAGGUGUCUUGCUGCCUGCGCUGUGGACCUGGUGGCCAGGCCUUCUUGUACGGUGCUGCCCUGCCUGCUGACGUGGUGGCCAGCUGUUUGAUCAGCCUGGUGUCUUGAUGCCCACACUGCAGACCUAGUGACCAGCUAGUCUAGUGAGCUGGAAUCGCGAUGCCCGGCCUUCUGAGUUGGUGACCAGCUGUUCCUGUGGCUUCCUCGACUGCUGAUCAGAAGAUCACGCGUGCUUUAAGGAAUCACAGGACAUCCUCAUGGCUCGUGGUUCAAAGAAUGCGGGGACGUGCAGCCGAGCCAAAUUCCGCUUCCUAUGAAAGAUGAGUGGAAAAUUGCCGGCACCGGGAUUCGAACCACGGACCUCUUGCACGCGAGGCGGGUGUUCUACCUCUACGCCACCGCUGCACCGCUGACAGCUGACAGCUGACAUAAGACAGCUGACAUAAGGAAGUAUAAUAUGGAUAGAAUUGAACAUGCUCUCAGGAACGGAGGAAGCCUAAAAACAGUGAAGAAGAAACUAGGAAUUGGGAAGAAUCAGAUGCAUGCGUUAACCCAUUGAGGGUCGAGGCCGUAAAUAUACGGCGCCGCGAACAGGUCCGAAAAUGGUCGAUGCCGUAUAUUUACGGCACCGUCUGUACGUUUAAAACGCGCGCUAAUUUCCUAACUUUUUCUUGCCUGGCAUGUGGUGCUACUAUGUUGGAAUACAUGAAAUUUUUUUCUCGCAUCUCUCUCUUUCAGUUUUCGUUCUAUAGUUUUUUCUUGCUGCGGCGCGUCUGCUACCGCUCGCGCAUUGGCGCGCUCGCGGGCGCGCGGCGGUUAGUUUCGGUUUUGUUCCACACGCGGUUUCGGCUUCUUUUGCUCGCAAAACUGAUGGCUAUCUCGUUCUUGUCACUCAAAGGGUGAUCGCCUGUUACCCGCUCG